rnacentral:rRNA from 1 species
UAGGGAAUCUUCCGCAAUGGACGAAAGUCUGACGGAGCAACGCCGCGUGAGUGAAGAAGGUUUUCGGAUCGUAAAACUCUGUUGUAAGGGAAGAACAAGUACGUUAGUAACUGAACGUACCUUGACGGUACCUUACCAGAAAGCCACGGCUAACUACGUGCCAGCAGCCGCGGGAAUACGUAGGUGGCAAGCGUUAUCCGGAAUUAUUGGGCGUAAAGCGCGCGUAGGCGGUCUCUUAAGUCUGAUGUGAAAGCCCCCGGCUCAACCGGGGAGGGUCAUUGGAAACUGGGAGACUUGAGUGCAGAAGAGGAGAGUGGAAUUCCAUGUGUAGCGGUGAAAUGCGCAGAGAUAUGGAGGAACACCAGUGGCGAAGGCGGCUCUCUGGUCUGUAACUGACGCUGAGGUGCGAAAGCGUGGGGAUCAAACAGG